rnacentral:rRNA from 1 species
UUAAGUUAUUAAGGGCGCACGGUGGAUGCCUUGGCACUAGAAGCCGAUGAAGGACGUUACUAACGACGAUAUGCUUUGGGGAGCUGUAAGUAAGCUUUGAUCCAGAGAUUUCCGAAUGGGGAAACCCAGCAUGAGUUAUGUCAUGUUAUCGAUAUGUGAAUACAUAGCAUAUCAGAAGGCACACCCGGAGAACUGAAACAUCUUAGUACCCGGAGGAAGAGAAAGAAAAUUCGAUUCCCUUAGUAGCGGCGAGCGAAACGGGAAGAGCCCAAACCAACAAGCUUGCUUGUUGGGGUUGUAGGACACUCUAUACGGAGUUACAAAGGACGACAUUAGACGAAUCAUCUGGAAAGAUGAAUCAAAGAAGGUAAUAAUCCUGUAGUCGAAAAUGUUGUCUCUCUUGAGUGGAUCCUGAGUACGACGGAGCACGUGAAAUUCCGUCGGAAUCUGGGAGGACCAUCUCCUAAGGCUAAAUACUCUCUAGUGACCGAUAGUGAACCAGUACCGUGAGGGAAAGGUGAAAAGCACCCCGGAAGGGGAGUGAAAUAGAACCUGAAACCGUGUGCUUACAAGUAGUCAGAGCCCGUUAAUGGGUGAUGGCGUGCCUUUUGUAGAAUGAACCGGCGAGUUACGAUUUGAUGCAAGGUUAAGCAGUAAAUGUGGAGCCGUAGCGAAAGCGAGUCUGAAUAGGGCGUUUAGUAUUUGGUCGUAGACCCGAAACCAGGUGAUCUACCCUUGGUCAGGUUGAAGUUCAGGUAACACUGAAUGGAGGACCGAACCGACUUACGUUGAAAAGUGAGCGGAUGAACUGAGGGUAGCGGAGAAAUUCCAAUCGAACCUGGAGAUAGCUGGUUCUCUCCGAAAUAGCUUUAGGGCUAGCCUCAAGUGAUGAUUAUUGGAGGUAGAGCACUGUUUGGACGAGGGGCCCCUCUCGGGUUACCGAAUUCAGACAAACUCCGAAUGCCAAUUAAUUUAACUUGGGAGUCAGAACAUGGGUGAUAAGGUCCGUGUUCGAAAGGGAAACAGCCCAGACCACCAGCUAAGGUCCCAAAAUAUAUGUUAAGUGGAAAAGGAUGUGGCGUUGCCCAGACAACUAGGAUGUUGGCUUAGAAGCAGCCAUCAUUUAAAGAGUGCGUAAUAGCUCACUAGUCGAGUGACACUGCGCCGAAAAUGUACCGGGGCUAAACAUAUUACCGAAGCUGUGGAUUGUCCUUUGGACAAUGGUAGGAGAGCGUUCUAAGGGCGUUGAAGCAUGAUCGUAAGGACAUGUGGAGCGCUUAGAAGUGAGAAUGCCGGUGUGAGUAGCGAAAGACGGGUGAGAAUCCCGUCCACCGAUUGACUAAGGUUUCCAGAGGAAGGCUCGUCCGCUCUGGGUUAGUCGGGUCCUAAGCUGAGGCCGACAGGCGUAGGCGAUGGAUAACAGGUUGAUAUUCCUGUACCACCUAUAAUCGUUUUAAUCGAUGGGGGGACGCAGUAGGAUAGGCGAAGCGUGCGAUUGGAUUG